CUCCUUCCAAGUGAGGAACACGGACAGGGCUUUCUCAGGAAGCUUUCUAGGACCCAGCUGCCUGCUGUUCUCGGGAGAACACAUCGGUUCUGUGCAUGGCCCUCUGUGGUAUGGGCACAGAUAGCAUUCCUCGCCAGGCUGCUGUGGGACUUUUCAUCCAGAAAUGGCACUGAAUGGAGAAUGAGUGAGGAAACAGACCCCCAUCUUUUGAGGAUCUGUGGACCCAGCCAGCUCUAGAAGAUCAAUUGCUCAGCCAAUGCACAGCUAAAAACGCCCUGCCACAGGGGGCAGGGACUGAAGAGGGUGGGAUCACAGUGAAAGAUGUAGCCCACAGUGUUGCUCACGAUUUCAGAGGAGAAUUGAAAAUGAGGAGGAAUGGAAUAUUCACAAGUGUGUCUACUUGUCAACAAAGCCUGCCAGGAUGCUGUGGGAAUUAAAUUACAUAGAAGCUGCAAAACAAUUUAGCUUUCUUGGAGUUGGACACCACCUGAACCUGAGUGAAAUGAUUGUGCACUUCUUAAUGGCCUCCAUCUCUGGCCAAGCUGCCUUGGGACUAGAACAACCGUCUAAGUCCCAGUUUCCAGCCUAAAACAGCAUGAGGACAAGGCCAGGAGGCCACAGCAAGGCUGUAAUCAGAACCCACAAGGAUUGCCUGGAGAUGCUGCAGUGCCGCCACCACCCAACGGCCAGAGCCCCCAGCAAAGGGAAACAAGGCACCUCAGAGGACUGAGAGACUCGGGACUUCCAGACAGAGGAUCAGGCGUACCUCAUGCACGCGUGUUUUGGAAGAAGGCCAUUUUGAAACCUACUCUGUAUCAUUACAGACUUUCAGUGAAUUAAUUUAGAAUAAAUCCACCUCCUUCCCUGUAUGUGGUAGAACUUCACUGGGAUGCAACGUGGGGACAGAGAUUUGAACCCUCAGUCCCACUUAUGAUGUGAGGCUUCAGGGGCACCACGGACAUGCUCCACAUUCACCCAUCUGUUGGGGAGGACUAAGGAAGCUGCGCUG